CCUACGGGAGGCAGCAGUGAGGAAUAUUGGUCAAUGGACGAGAGUCUGAACCAGCCAAGUAGCGUGAAGGAUGACUGCCCUAUGGGUUGUAAACUUCUUUUAUAUGGGAAUAAAAUGUUCCACGUGUGGGAUUUUGUAUGUACAAUAUGAAUAAGGAUCGGCUAACUACGUGCCAGCAGCCGCGGUAAUACGGAGGAUCCGAGCGUUAUCCGGAUUUAUUGGGUUUAAAGGGAGCGUAGGUGGAUUGUUAAGUCAGUUGUGAAAGUUUGCGGCUCAACCGUAAAAUUGCAGUUGAAACUGGCAGUCUUGAGUACAGUAGAGGUGGGCGGAAUUCGUGGUGUAGCGGUGAAAUGCUUAGAUAUCACGAAGAACUCCGAUUGCGAAGGCAGUUCACUGGACUGCAACUGACACUGAGGCUCGAAAGUGUGGGUAUCAAACAGGAUUAGAUACCCGAGUAGUC
rnacentral:rRNA from 1 species